rnacentral:rRNA from 1 species
GUGGGGAAUCUUCCGCAAUGGACGAAAGUCUGACGGAGCAACGCCGCGUGAGUGAAGAAGGUUUUCGGAUCGUAAAGCCCUUUCGUUAGGGACGAACGUGCUCUUUGUGAAUAAUGAGGAGUAAUGACGGUACCUAAAUAAGAAGCCACGGCUAACUACGUGCCAGCAGCCGCGGUAAUACGUAGGUGGCAAGCGUUGUCCGGAAUUAUUGGGCGUAAAGCGCGCGCAGGCGGGAUAUCAAGUCUGUCUUAAAAGUGCGAGGCUCAACCUCGUGAGGGGACAGAAACUGGUAUUCUUGAGUGUCGUAGAGGAAAGUGGAAUUCCAAGUGUAGCGGUGUAAUGCGUAGAGAUUUGGAAGAACACCAGUGGCGAAGGCGACUUUCUGGACGAUGUCUGACGCUGAGGCGCGAAAGCUAGGGGAGCGAACGGGAUUAGAAACCCGUGUAGUCC